UCAGUCGACUCCUACGGGAGCAGCAGUCGGGGAAUCUUGGACAAUGGGCGCAAGCCUGAUCCAGCCAUGCCGCGUGAGUGAUAGAAGGCCCUAGGGUCGUAAAGCUCUUUCGCCAGGGAUGAUAAUGACAGUACCUGGUAAAGAAACCCCGGCUAACUCCGUGCCAGCAGCCGCGGUAAGUACGGAGGGGUUAGCGUUGUUCGGUAAUUACUGGGCGUAAAGCGCGCGUAGGCGGAUUAGUCAGUUAGAGGUGAAAUCCCACGGGCUCAACCCUGGAACUGCCUUUAAUACUGCUAGUCUUGAGUUCGAGAGAGGUGAGUGGAAUUCCGAGUGUAGAGGUGAAAUUCGUAGAUAUUCGGAGGAACACCAGUGGCGAAGGCGGCUCACUGGCUCGAUACUGACGCUGAGGUGCGAAAGUGUGGGGAGCAAACAGGAUUAGAUACCCUGGUAG
rnacentral:rRNA from 1 species